rnacentral:rRNA from 1 species
UACAGAGGGUGCGAGCGUUGUUCGGAAUUAUUGGGCGUAAAGCGCUUGUAGGCGGCACGUCAAGUCGCGUGUGAAAUCCCCAGGCUUAACCUGGGAAGUGCGCGCGAAACUGACGAGCUUGAGUGCCGGAGAGGGUCGCGGAAUUCCCGGUGUAGAGGUGAAAUUCGUAGAGAUCGGGAGGAACACCAGUGGCGAAGGCGGCUACCUGGACCAGCACUGACACUGAGGCACGAAAGCGUGGGGAGCAAACAGG